GACGAACGCUGGCGGCGUGCUUAACACAUGCAAGUCGAACGGGCCCGCUCUCUUUUUUGGGGGUGGGUUGAGUGGCGAACGGGGGAGUAGCACGGGAGUAACCUGCGCCCGGCUCCUGGAUAACUGCUUGAAAGGGGGGCUAAAACGGGGUGUGCCGGCUGGUCCGCAUGGGCCGGGUCGGGAUAGUUUCAUCUUCGGGUGUUUCGGUGGGGGAGGGGCUCGCGGCGGAUCAGCUUGUUGGGGGGGUGGUGGCCAACCAAGGCGGGGACGGGUGGCCGGCCUGAGAGGGUGGGCGGCCAGACUGGGAGUGAGACACGGCACAGCCUCGGGCGGGAGGCAGCGGUGGGGGGUCUUGCAGAAUGGGCGGAUGACUGAUGCAGCGAGGGCGCGUGAGGGAUGGCGUCCGUCGGGUUGUGAACCUCUUUCUCCGGUGGUGAAGGCCCUGUCCGUUGCGGCGGGGUUGACGGUAGCCGGGUAUGAAGCGCCGGCUAACUACGUG
rnacentral:rRNA from 1 species